AGGUAAGGUGGGCAUGGGGGUGAGAAAGGGUGAGGCAUCAAGCCCCCCAUCAUUGUUUGUGACUGAGCUUAAUUCCAUUGGGAAUGCUGGGAGCAGGGCCAGACAAUUCCUCUCAGCAGCUAUCACCCCCUUUCCCUAGGAGAGCAAGUGUUUAUGCACCAAUGGAGCUAUUCAGGCACCAGUCUCCAUAUGGACUGAGGGUUUCCGGCUGAUCUGGGCCUGGGCCCUCCUUGUGUGGCUUCCAAGGAAGCCCUGAGGCAAAGAGAUGCAGACACUAGCAUUUGGAAAUCAGCUGGCAGCACCGAAGGAGUCACGUCCGGGGUAAGGUGCACCCCACUUAGGAGUUGGCUGGACCAGAACAGGGGAGGCAGAGGAAUAGUUUCAGCAGCACAAACACUGCGGGAGCCCAGGUGGAGGCCCUUAAUCUCACCUGAAGAGGUCAAGGCUGGCGUCACAGAGGAGGCAGCGCUCAUCCUGGAUUUUGAAAGAUGAACUGAAUUUUAUCAGAAUUUGAAAACUAUUCAAUCCCACUAGGUAGAUCUGUUUUUCACCGCCAACAGACUGCUGCUAAAGCUAUCCAAUAUCAAGCACCAUGCCUCUAGGCCCAGGGACCAUUGCAGAAGAGCUUUGAUUGGACAAGAGACUGACUUCAAUAACUUUCUCCUGAUAAGAAAACCACUGACCAUGGGCUGGUUCUGGCUGGUUUACAGAGAUUAUGCACUUGCAUGCCUCUGUGUCCUGAAAAGACCUUUCAAUAUAUAGGGCCUGACUGUAAUAUAUUUAAAUGUUGUCUCCAUCUCAGAGUGAACCUGGGUCUUAUAUUACAUGCAUGUUUGUUCAAUACGCAUGUGUCAAGAGCACCUUCAUGAAUGUUCAUGGUCUUCCUAUAACCUGUUGAAUAUGUGUGUUUAGCCAAGCUGUUCAGCAUAAAGCUCCUACCCCAACCCCGCCUCUUUCAAAGUGUCUAUUUCCCAUCUUUGCCGGAGACACGCUUCCAGCCUGCGAGAUGACCACCUGCCAGGCUGUAACCCUUUACAAAAAAUAAA